UGGAAUUUAUCAGGGCCAUUUCCUUGGUCAGCUAACCCACACCCAGGGACCCAGGGACAGAGGAAGAGAUGGCAGGGUAGAGACCCUUGGAUUUGUUCUUUUGGAUUUUGGAUUUUGACCUGAUUUUCUCUGUCAAUCCUCAUUCCAGAUCCAGUGGCCAAAGGAGGAAGAGACUCAGUGGUCUUUUCUUUUUCCUUCAUUUUUCAAACAAAGAAGCUAAAUGAGACCAACAAGCCCGAAGGAGAAUGAGUUCCUUGCAGAACUUCUCAGGACUUGAAGCUGCGAGUGUGCUCAGCAAGACCUCACGAACUGGGGGAAAAUCAAGAGAGAAAUGUUCCACGGUGUAUCUUUGUACCUGCCCUAAAUUGGCGUCAUUUUGGGCCUCCAUCCAGGGGAGAAAACUCAGCCUGUAGAAGCAGAGAGAAGAUUAGAUGCUGCUGGAAGGAAUGGAGGUUUGUUGUGUUGCUGUCCUCAGGAGGGGAACAUGGCAGGGUUUAACAUGAGCAAGAGACAGCAGGGGUUCUUUUAGAGGAAAUAAAUCUAUUGUAGUAUUCCAAGAGAAAAUUCAGCAUGGCACACUGAAAAAGGAAAAGGAAAAAAAUUGCGUCCAGAACUCUCCCAAUUGUUCUAAGUACAAAGACCCCCAAACUAAUGGGCACAUUAAAUGAGGUUUUGUAUUCUUUUAUUUAUAUUUGAUUGCCCCACCCCAACCCCAUCUCUCUCUCUCUUUCUCUCUCUCUUUCUUUCUCUCUCUCUCUCACACACACACACACACACACACACACACACACACACGGACACACACCCUGCAGCCUCUGAUCCUCCCUAUUGCCCCUAUCCUGUUGAUCUUUCUUCACUUAAAAAUUAUCAGCAAAGAAUUUAUUCAUUUGGGAGAAUUCCAGGCACUACAUUUAUGUUCAGUUCAAAUGAAAUGGGAUCCAGACUUUUCAAACCGUUCUGUUUUGCAGAUAAAACACAAAGGCAGGACCUCAUUACCUGGAGACAGGGCCCGUUCUCUUUCCUCCUGCCUUUUGUUUCUAAGCAAUUUUAAAUUUGUUUAAAAAGUUUCAUAACGGGGACAGAACUUUUUUUUUACCACGUCUAUUUCAGGAGGGUUUUUAGUUAAGAGUAAUGAAUAUAUCUCCAGACAGAUGGAAGAGUUUUACUAAAUCUAGAAAAGACAUUUUUCCCAAUAACCCCUAUAGGCUGAUCCUAAUCCUCUCAUUGUUCAAAAUGGUCUACAAAAGUCUUAUUCAGGUGCCAAAUGUCUUUAUUAAAUCAGUAUAUUAACACACAAAAAAAUCCUAUUACAAUGAGUUUCUCUGUAAGAUCAAAAGUUCUCUAUGGUCCUGCUGAUAAAAAGGUGAAAUUCCAGUAGAGCCCAAACUUUGGCCAAGUUUUUCAAAAUUUACUGCACUAUAACCAGAGGGUUUACUAGGUCCUAGCCAGGAAAAAGCCUAAGUUUUAUCAAAGCAGUAGUCCCCAACAAAAAUAAAACCAUGCAAAGUAGAAACAAGUCGUUGGCAACAUUGUAAUAUGAUGUGACCUGUAGAAAAAAACACAGUGGGUCUCUGAUACCCACUUUGAUUUGAGAAACUCAAGUGGCAAAUUCAAUGACAAACUGCACCAGCAAAUCCAGGCUUCGCGGGCUGUGAAAAGAGUUUGAAAAUGAAGAGAAGCAAAGCCUGGUGUGUUUGUAUAUUGGAUUUUUGAAAGUAAACUAAAACAAAAUUUUUCUUGAAUGCAAAAUCAAUGCAUGUUUGUUACAGGGGAAACAUUUUCCCAUAAGUGCAUGUGUUUUGGGUCCCAGACUUGAUUUCUGCCUUCAGGUAGAAGUGAGGGGUAAAAGCUCAGCAUUGGAGUGCAGCCAGAAGCAUGGGGCCUGAUGGAUAUCAGGAGGACCUAAAGAGAGAAGAAGAUGCCAAACUUGGAGCAUCUAAGAACUAUGGCCUGUCAAAGGGACCUGGGGGAAGAGCCCAACCAGGUCAGGAAAGUCAACAGGAGGAUGCAGGGGAAGCAGCGGACACAGGGAGACCGUGCAUGGCUGAGAUCUUAGGCAGCAACAAGAGGUUGCAGCAGAGGUGGAAAGGAUGUGGCAGAUGUGACAGAGAGACGGGGGAGCAUGCAAAGGCCCUGGAGAUAUAUUUAAAAUCCUUUAGCCUUUCCAAGAUUAUUAACACAAAUUACAUUUCUUGCUUAUUCCAGAUGCCUUAGUAUCUCAUUUUAUCACUAAGGACCUGCCAUGUUAAAAAUAAACAUUUGGGAAGCAAAGGUGAUUUUUCUCUUUUCUUUUUAAUUGCGAUGUUGAUGUACUCAUGGCCUGACGUGACAUGGGGUCUGGCUUAGAUUAGCCCCUGGCUGAGCGACUCAUGCUAAUUUAGCGACUGCAAUUAUGCCGGCCUCUAACCGUGGCCUGCUCUUUGUGCGAUGUGCCCUCUGAGUUGUUUUUCUCCAACAGAAGUAGUGGGA